AGGGUGGGGGACGGAGGCAGGCAGGCGAGCAGGCAGGGAGGGGAAGAAGAGAAGGGAAGCUAUUAAACACACACACACUCACACACGCGCGCGCACACACCCGCCCCAACCCCCCAGAAGCCUCGGGAUUGCAGCUGUUUCAUGUGGGGCAGCAGUGCUGGCAGGGACGCCGGCCGGGAGCGGCUGGGAGCGGGAGCCGGGCGUGCGCGCGCGGCUGGAGGCUCGCUGGGGCUCCGCUCCCCGCGGGAGCUAUUGUUGGUCUCGCUGGAGCUGAGCGCAGAGCCCGGACCUGCUCCUUCCUGGGCGCCCCGCUCCGGCUCGCGGAGCAGAGGAGCCGCGCCGCCGAGAGAGAGAGGAGCCACCGGCGCGGCGCCUUGCCUCCCUGCCGCCCUCCUCCCCGCUUCCCCGGCGGUAGCAGCCUGCAGCCACGAUGGAAAAACUGAGAAUCAGAGAGGGCUAGUGAUCUCUCAGACACUUGGUCAGUAGGAUGCCUUUGAACUCUGGAUCUCUCCACCUGGUCUGAUUCUGUCCAGAGGCCUGGGAGGAUUGGCAUUAUUAAGAUGUUAUUGAAAAUGUUGGCACAUAUAAUCGGCUUGGAUCAGAAACCAAAGCUCUUAGCAGAGUAACAAGAAAAGAUCCCGCACCAUCCUCCAGGAUCCAAUGGCCUUGGAGAGAGGGCUGCAGGGCCCACGGACAUUGCUGACUCUUCAGAACGUGCUGACAUGGAGCCAGGUAGAC
rnacentral:sRNA from 1 species